CCAUCUGCAGAAGUAAACUUUGCCUUGCUGAGAAAUUCUCUGUUUGAGUGCUUGUUCUCUUGGUGACUCUAACCUCUUAUUUCCAACAACCUAGGGCUUCGUCUGGGAUCCCAUUCUCCUCCGGGAUCCCCUCUCAUGAGGAGACACGUUCCGCUGCCUCACUGUGGCAGCCUUGGGGGUAAGGAAUUGAGACCCACCGAGUUUGACAAAUAAACCCGGACUCUCAGCAAUGCAGGAUGAAAAGGCCUACAGAUACCACAAUGACCAGGACUCAAGGUCUUCUAGCACAGACUCCACCCCUCGAAUUUCCAGUUCACCAGCGCCAACCUGGAGAUUACGUCCUUGUCAAAAGCUGGAAAGAGGGAAUGCUUGAGCCCUCCUGGGAAGGACCUUACCUGGUGCUCCUCACAACUGAGACUGCAGUCCAAACUGCUGAAAAGGGGUGGACGCAUCAUAUGCGAGUCAAAAAGGCAUCGCCCUCUCCAAAGCCAUGGACCAUUGUCCCAGGGCCAACUCCCACCAGAGUAAUGUUAAAAAGAAAAUAUUAAUCUGUUUCUUCCUCCUUUUCCUCUUCUCCCCAGCUGUCUCACAUCUUAUUCCAAAGCCAAAGAAAGCUAGCCUCUUCAGAAAAGUACUCCCGCACCAAAUGAGCACAGGGCAGUCAUUGGAAGUUCUGUUUUGGUUGGGGAGAUGUGGUCUGAACAAUCAAGUAUCAAGGCUGGACCUCCCCAGGAGGAGGUUGCACUAACCUAAACCCUUACAUCCACUUUACAAAAAAGACAACUCCCUCUAAUUGUCAACUCCAACAAUGUAACCCUGUGCAAAUCUCUAUUACUGUCACCACCUCUACCAACACUAACCCCACUGUAGGUUGCUUCUAUGGCAUAGGAGCUGAUGUUCCUGGAAUAGACCCUAUAGGAUCCUUUGAAAUGCACUUCAUUACUCCUCCACCCUCUUCCCUUCCUCCACCUUCUAAACCUUAUUCCAAUCAAACAGCUGUUCUUUACAUACCCAACGACGAAACUAUAGUAAACAUUGUAGAAGUUAAGGAUUUAAAAGAAACCCUAGCCAUAGAAACUGGGUAUCAAGAUGUAAAUGCCUGGCUGGAAUAGAUUAAAUAUUCUGUUCACACCCUAAAUAAGAGUUAUUGUUACGCUUGUGCCACAGGCAGGCCAGAAACCCAAAUUGUUCGCUUUCCACUUGGAUGGUUCUCCAACCAACAGAGUAUGAGUUGUAUGGUAGCUCUCUUCCAAGACCCUGCAGCUUGGGGCAGUAAGGCAUGCUGAACUCUCUCGCUGCUAUUCUUGGAAGUUUAAGGCCCUGUAGGUCAGCCCCCAAGGGCCUUCCGGCCUCUGGUUAGCAAUGUCAGUUUUACCUUGUGUCUCUCAUGACAAAGGGAAAAUUUAGCAUUCCUUGGAAGCCUAAUGGGAUGCAGUGAGUCCAAGCCUUUUCAGGAGCUAACCAAUCUGUCUGCCCUUGUUCAUCCCCUGGCGGAUGUAUGGUGGUAUUGCGGUGGACCACUGUUGGGUACUCUGCCAAGUAACUGGAGCGGCACUUGCACUGUAGUCCAAUUGGCCAUUCCUUUUACGCUGGCAUUUCAUCAACCAAACAAACAGAAAGGAAAAUUGCAAAAAAUGGAAGGUGCCCCUCAUGGGUCUUUUGAACCUGGCAUUUAUAUAGGUGCCAUCGGAGUUCCAUGAGGGGUACCAAAUGAAUUUAAAGCUCGAAAUCAAGUAGCUGCAGGAUUUGAAUCUGCAUUAUUCUGGUGGUCUACUAUAAACAAAAAUGUAAAUUGGAUAAAUUACAUUUACUAUAAUUGACAGCAAUUUGUCAAUUACAUAAGAGAUGCCAUUAAAGGAAUAGCUGAACAAUUAGGCCCUACCAGCCAAAUGGCCUGGGAAAAUAGAAGAGCCCUUGACAUGAUAUUAGCUGAAAAAGGUACAGUAUAUGUCAUAAUUAGGACCCAAUGCUGUACUUUCAUCCAUAAUAACACCACCCCCUAUGGAACCAUAACAAAGGCUCUACAAAGUCUUACUAUCUUAGCCAAUGAGUUAGGUAAGGUAUUCUGAAAAUUACAGAAUAAACAACCUCUUCACUAAUUUAAUGGGAAAAUGGCUUGGCAAAUGAAAGGGACUCACUCAUGACCUCAGUCCUCACCUCCCUUACAACUGUAAUAGCUGUACUUAUUCUUGUAGGGUGCUGCAUUAUACCCUGUGUCUGCGGAUUGGUGCAAAAACUUAUUGAAACAGCUCUCACUAAAACCUUCUCCAAUUCUCCCCCACCAUAUUUAGAUAAGCUGUUACUCUUAGAAAAUCAAGAAGAACAACAAAGCCAAAAUAUGUUAGACAAAUUUGAAAAGGAAGAAUUAUAAAAAUCAAAGGUGGGGGAAAUUGCAAGGUACAGUGAGUUCCUCUUCAAAGGUUUAGCUUGUUCAACUUCUUUGUUCUUUGUUCCUAAAAACAACUCCCUUGUACCUCCUUGCCCCUAGUUACCUGCUUAGUUAACUGCUUUGUAAACAACUCUUCCCGCCAGCCUCGACCUGUAACUUAUAUCCCCCUUCCCUUUCUUAUUUGGGAAAAUAUUCACAAACAGCCAAUCGGGUCAGCUUAGAUUGUGUGGUCUGACCCCAGCCCAUGUGGGGAGUGACACAGAGGUAGGGACUGCAUUAGGGAUAAAAACUCCUCUCUUUUCUUUGGGGUGCUCUAGGAGUAGCCAAAACUAUGAGCAGCACCCUUCUGCAGAAGUACAUUUUGCCUUGCUGAGAAGUUCUCUGUUUGAGUGCUCGUUCUCUUGGCGACUCUGACCUUUUAUUUCCAAUAUUAAUAUGGUUAGCAUUAAUGUGUGUGAUUAAAACUACACACAUUAAUGUAAAACUACUACAUUAAUGUGUGUGAUUAAAACUACUAAAACUACAUUAAUGUGUGUGAUUAAAACUACUAAAUAAGAUAAAUAAUUUCAUCUGCAAAGGGUACAAGAAAAACAAGAUAUAUUUUUGGGAAGAAAGAUUAUAAAGAAGAUAUAAAAAUGUGAUUUUUGUUAAAAGAAAAAAAUUUCCCAUUUUAGAGAUGACUUAAAUAUUGUUUUAAAAUGAAGGAAUAAAUUUAAAAAAUAGAGAUAAAACUAAAUGAAUAUUGAAAGCUAAAAUGUAAAAGAAAAUCUUGUGUGGUUAAACUGACUCAGGUUAAAUGAAUGUAUUAUAAGUGUUUUCAAAAUUGAGCCUUAAUAUCAAAAGUAUACCAAUAUAAAACUAAAAUUCAGUUUUCUCUUUUAAAUAAUAUCUUUUUGUAGUAAUAAUAAGAGAGCAAAAGACUUUCAUUCACCUUUUGAGUGAACUACAAAAAACAAAAAAGGGGUAGGGGAGAGAAAGGGAAAAAGAUUUUGUGUGUUUUCUGCUGUCUUUAUUAGGUCUUUUGAUUAUUUGGAAAAUUGAGUGUCUAUCAAACAGUGAAGGUUUUUUCUUUCUCAAAUCUUUUGGUUAUUAUUUUGGCUAAAUGAAGAAUUAUUAUCAUGGCCUGUGAUCCUAUUUUGAUCAAUUAUUUUAAACCUCUGACAUAUUUGACUGACUUUCCAAAAUCAAAAUUCAAAAUCAAAAUGAAGUCUUUUUGACCUCAAACUAACUUUGGAUGUCCCAGAGGGCCCCUGAAGCAUCUAAAAAAGAGAAAAUAAAAUAAACAAAGAUAAUAAAUGAAGGCAUAUCUGAUAUGUUAAAUUACACAAGUAGCACUGUCUUGUAACAGGAAAGAAUGUUUAACCUUUUUUUUGAAUUAUGUUUCUAUGGAUAUGCUAUUAAUACAUGUUCCAAACUUGUAUGAGAUUCCUAAAAUUCUGAUAUGUCUUGAUGUAUAUUAUCAGUCAUAAUUAUUACUAUUAUAUAAAAUUAUUACAGGCCACAGGAAUAACCAAAUUUCCUUGUCAAUCGCAUCUUUAACCAUGACUGUUUUAAGUCUACUUGUACACAGUAAAUUGCUUAAUCUGAUGCUUUUUUGGAAAGCUCUUUAUAAGCUAUUAUAAUCCUAAAGAGUUGUGCUUUCAAGGAGGUUCAUGGAAGGGACUCUGAAAGUACAAAUGUCUGAUAACUUUAAGAUUAUACUGUUGGACUGGAUAAAAAAACCUCAGAACUCUAAUGAAAAAAAAAUUGGUUCAUAAUACUGCUAACCCAAGCAGAGAAGAAUUAAAUUAUGAGGAAAUACAUUGGCUAAGUCAGCCGGUACUGAAAAUGUUAAAAUAUGCAAUUUGAAUGAUCUCCUUGAUCCAAGUCAAAUUACCUAUAAUAAUUAAUUUAAUAAACAGUGCUAUGCACUGGAAUUGGAGAAACAAAAUUGGUAUUUCAGAGGAUAUAAAUUCAAUAUGAAAUGUGUACUCACAGAGGGCCUGAACAGCUGCCUAGUCCUUCCUGCUUCCUUAACACCUCCAUUAUUAAAACUCUACACUCCAUGACUCAUCAUGGAAUAGAUGAUUGAAAUAAUGAAAAAAAAAUGUGUGGAGACUUUUCUAAAAUUGCUAAAAUGAUUUAUGAUCAAUGUUUUAUUUGUCAAAUCCAUAAUCCUGGAAAGAUAAUCAAAACUUUGGGUACAUUUCUGCUACCUGAUGGGCUAUAUGAACAUUUCUAGAUGGAUUUUUCAUUCAAUUGCCAUUUUCAGUCUGUGUUUUCUGGUUGUAUACAAGCUUUUUAACGCAAGAAGACCAAUGCUAUAACCAUAGCUAAAGGUUAUUAGAAAAUGUGUUUUCUCCAGGGGUAUACCUGGGGAAAUCCCCAGUGAUAGAGGUUCUUGUUUCACUGGAUGAGUUGUAAAACAGUUAGCUAAGUUAUUACAGACACAAUAGCAUUAAGCAAAACUAAUUGAAUCCACUGGAUUGCCUUGAUCAAAGGCAUUGCAAAUUGAUGACAGUCAUUUCUACUUCCAAUUGAAAAUAUAAGUUGACCCCUUAUGAAAUAGUCACUGGAAAGGCCUGUGCUCCUAAUAAUAGAACCUAAUGUACCUCCGCUCUCCUAAACUCUAGUGUGACUAAAUACUGCAUGGCUUUAUGGUUGUACACCAAAGUAUAUUUUUGCCAGCUAAAGGAAGUUUUUCAUGAUCCACCAGCUGAGGACAAUAAAACUCUUUACAGUCUAAAACCCAGAGAUUAGGUCUUCUGGAAGUGUCAUCAGAGAAAGAAAGACUGCCCUUGCCACCAACGCUGCAGCAAAACUUUGGGACCUCAAACCUUGGGUCCACAUUUUGUAGCUCAAAAGUACCUCUUUAUACUCUUGGACAUGGUACACCCAUGUGGAUCCUAAGGUAAAACUCACCAGGAAAGUUUCUGCUCAGAAGCAGACAGUAUCCUAGACAUGGACAGCUUUCCCAGGAUUCUGGGUCAAUAGUUUUCUGUCAUCAUGAAACUCUUAUCUUUUUCUUAUUUAUAUAUACCUCUUUCGCUCAGCAGGAUAAUGCUGUAAUUAGAUUUCCACAAUCAGUACCUUCUGUGGGUAACUUUACGGAGCAUUUAAUAUGUCAUGCCAAACACAGACUUUACAUGACCUAAUGGAUCCCGUAGUUCACACAGGGGGUAACUAGACCCACAUUUUCUCAUUCCUUUUUUUAAUUUAACUCAGUAAUGGGAUACAAGGACCGGGACCAACACAAGACAGGUUUGCACCAAAAGCCUAGGAGGAGUUUCUUGCAAACUGACUUAUGUGCUAGGGUACUACAGUAUUCUUUCAACCUGUAAUAAUUCUACCUCAGACCCUUGGCUAGAAACUGCUAAUUUCACCAUUCCAAGUAAUGUAUCCAUAAACAAUGGAAUCAGAAAAGGGGUCUUUGUACGCAUACAUGGGGUUUACUUUUAUUUGUGGAGAAUUUUGCAGACGACCCUAUACAUGGACAAACUUAUACCCUGAUUAAUGGAAGAUAAAGGGCCAAUGUGGGCUAGAAAAUUUAAUAGUUCCUUUGUUGCUUCAUAGUCAGAAACAGAAUAUUGAUCCAAUCCUCCUAACCUACACUGUAAGUAAGUUAAAAAGAACAUUGCUGGCCAGUCAUGGUAGUUCACACCUGUAAUCCAAGCACUUUGGGAGGCCGAGGCGACAGAUCAUUUGAAGUCAGGAGUUUGAGACCAGCCUGGCCAACAUGGUGAAACCCUGUCUCUACUAAGAAUACAAAAAUGCAUGGCUGUAAUCCCAGCUACUCGGGAGGCUGAGGCAGGAGAAUCACUUGAACCUGGGAGGUGGCGGUUGCAGUGAGCCAAGAUCGCACCACUGCACUCCAGCUUAGGUGACAGAUGGAGAUUGUGUCUCAAAACAAAAACAAAAACAAAAAACAUUGUCAAGAGGCCUUUACCCUUCUGGAUCAACAUCAUUUGUUAAGGCUGCUUUUUCAUGGCCUGGAAUGAAUAUAAACAAGGCAAUGGUGGCAAUGGUUAGAUAUUUAUUCCCCAAAAUAAACUCUACAGCAGAUUUUACUACAAA